GGCCUGUGAUAAGGGUAUCCCUCAUCAGAGGGCAAUGCCAACAACUGCUGCUUCCUGCAAGGCAGCAUAUGAGCAGUGAGUGGCAGAGUGGGAAGCGGCCUGAGCCCAUCAUCACAAGCAGCAUCCCAAUGCUCGCUGUGCUGUGUGGGAGGUGCGCAACCCCCACCCUCAUAUGAAAAAAGUGGAUAAGCAGAAAGCUAUCUGUGAGAUCUGUUAUUAUCAGAAGUCUGAGGAUCUCAUUUUCCCCAAGGCUGUGUUUGCAUGUCUUGUCUGAGAGAUUGAUGGGGGGAAGUAUCACUUCCAGUGUUCUGCCCUCAAUGCUCUUCAAGUUGCUGUGGAGACAACAUUGGUCACACUUUUUGAGUGUAUGAUAUCAUGUGAAAACAGAUGUAACAAUAUCUCACUAAUCAUUUCAUAGAUGGCCUUAAGGCCAUGAUUCAUUGUGGGUGGGUGAUCCUCACUGUGAGGGAUAUUAGAUUGAUGGUGGAGAUCGCUGAAGAAUUGGGUAGUAAUUUUUUUGGCAAUUAUAGAUUGGAAAAAUGAGUUUUGUUUUAUUUUUAUUUUUUUUUUUUUCAUUAUUUUUUUUUUUGCUGG
rnacentral:sRNA from 1 species